AGUGACCUUCACAUGUUCUAAAUGAACCUCCAGUAUUCAUAAGAGCAAGCUCUCAAUAAUUAUCACCCUGUUAACCAUUCAGGUUCUUAUGCCUUCGGAAAUCUGAACUUUGGAAAUUAUAUAGAAAUUAUUUUCUCACAAUCAUUAAGUACUAUUUACUGAAUUUCCUGUUGAAAAAGUAGACAGUACCACCUUGAAUUACUCUCCAUUCCUGAAUAUUUAAUUAAUAUGGAACUUGAGUGUGAUUUAGAUGUCCUGGCAUUAUGUGUGUCAUUCUACUGUAAAUAAAUAGAUGCUUUAACUUCACCAGUGCACAAAGUUAAAUGUCAGAAAACUGUAUUUGCAUAUUUACACAGAAUAAUUACAUGCUGAUCAGAACAGUGUAAUUAGGGAUACUAACAUAAAAUGUUAACUAAGAGCCCAUGUAUUUGCAGAAAUAAAAAAGAAAUCAAUGGGAGCAAACAAUAAAAAAAGAUGCUGAAUGUUUACUGUCUGCUGUGUAAAGUAAAGCACUGCAAAAACUUAUAGAAUAACUGUAAUGCUCUUCAACCAGGUAUUUAAAUUAAUUCUUACCUGUUAAAAUUAUCAUAUAUUCUCUUUAUUUCUAUUUUUUUUUUUGAGAGCUCUUAACAACACAAUGGAGAGCUGGAGAUCUUGACUGACCUAAUGUAUUUAAAUUUCCCUUAUGGGGAACAGGAUUUGAAGUGCUUGGGAUUAUAAUCGAAAUGAAUUUGAUGGUUCAUCUCAGCCUCUAAUGGAUUACAGUAUGAAUGUCAUCAACUUUAUAUUACAGUAAAAAGUGUGAUCGCCUUCUGUAUUUAGAAAUGGCUGAAGUCCAUCUUUUGAUCCCAGAAAGAAUGCAGAGAGGGAAUGAAUAUCAGUCUUCAUUCAGAAGAGUCUAUUUGCUGAGCACCCACUUUCUGAAGAAACAUUGCAAAUAUCAAAUUAACCCCAAGAUGUGAAUCAUAGUUUUGCAAUGCUGGAAUGAAAUGUUGAUAUGCAAGAUGUUAGUAAAAAAUGUUUCUGUUGAUAGUUGUCCAUUUUUCUCUUUUUAUUUUCAGAUGCUUUUUGAAUCCUGCAUCUGUAACUGGAACUGUGUGAAGUAUGGGUGAAAUUGCAGUUGAAAAACUAAAAAUUUGAGACAAUAACACAUACCAGCUUUAAGAAGCAGAUUGGCUUCAGCAAUGUCUGUGUUUUCCCUUUGUAAUAUGCAUUCACUAUCUGUAUGACAUUUUCUGGCAGGACUUUUUGUGGAAAUAGAUAAUAUUAGGAUAAUAGAAUACGAUAGUCACGUGAAGUGAGUUCACUAACAUAAUUCACAUUUUCAGUCAGGCAAAAACAACUGUGUCAACAUAACUUCAAUUUGAUUUGAUUCCUGUUUUGAAUUUCAAGUACUUAACAAAUGGCUCACAAGUAACUAUUCUUAGAAAUUAUAUGUCAAAUCACUAUCUAAAGAUAUAUGUGGAAAAAUAGUCAUAGCUCGUAAUUAACUCAUAAACAGGAAAAAGAAGCAAAACUCAUCUAAUAGAACUAUUUGUUAGGAACUGUGACUUCAGCUUUAAUUUUUAUAAACUGGACUUUUCUGUUUUGCUGUGAUACCUAUAAAAUUUAAGUUUCUAUGUUUUGAAUGGUACCAGGCUGACCAAACCGUGAAUUUAGCCUAUAUAUCCAUCUGUGUGCUAGACAUUUUGUCCAGAAGGAUCCUGGGUGAGCCAGUAUUGAAAGCUUUAAUGAAAUCCAAAAAGUUUACAUCAACUGGCUUCUUUUGAUCAGCUACGUGGGUUAUCUUGUCAUAAAAAGCAGUCAGGUUUCAUAAGCAGGACUUCUGUCUCAUGAAGCUGUGCUGGCUGUGAUCAAUGACAGCAUUGUGUUUCAAGUGUUUUUCAAUACUUCCCUAAAUAAUCUUCUCCAUACCUUUACCAGGCACUGAAGUGAGACUGACAGGUCUGUACUUUCUGGGGUCCUCCUUCUUGCCCUUCUUAAAAAUUGGGUCAACCUUUUCCAGCUUCCAGUGAGCUGGGACCUCUCCAGAUUCCCAAGACCACUCAAAAAUCAUAGACAGAGGUGUUGCAAUGACAUCAGGCAACUCUUUGAGGAUUAUAGGAUGAAUCCCAUCAGGCCCCAUAGAUUUGUAGGGAUCCAGCUGGAGCAGUAGAUCCCACACAACGUCAGGUCAACUGGAAGCUGAUCUUUCUCACAGCCAUGGUCCUCCAGCUCAGGUCCAUCAUCCGUGUUGAAGACAGAGGCUAAGAAAGCAUUAAACACCUUGUAAGGUGACCAUCCUCAUCCUCUAAUGGGCCAAUGAUAUUUCUAUACUGCCUGUUGCCAUUAAUAUAUUUGAAAAAACUCUUGUUCCCCACAUUUCUGGGCAGCUUCAACUCCAGUUGAGCUUUGGGUGCACAAACUUUCUCCUUACAAUGGCAAGCAGCAUCUCUGUAUUCUUUCUAUGUCACUUGACCUUGCUUCCACAGGGCAUACACCUUCCCUUUUUUUGCCUUAUUUCUAAGAGAAGAUCCUUGCUUAGCCAAGCCAGCCUUCUGCCUUGUCUGCAGGAAAUUGCCUGCUGCUGUGCCCUUAGGAGGUGAUGUUUGAAAAGUGACCAGCACUGGUUGACCCCAGCACCUGCAAAAACAUUUUCCCAGAGGACCUUAAUUCCCUGAACAGACUGAAUUCUGCUCUCCUUAUGCCCAGGGUUGAGGGCUUUCUGGCUCUUGUCCUCCUUUCAACAAAGAGUUUAAACUCAAUCACUUCAUGGCUGCUCUAACCGAGAUGGUCACCAAUCUCCACUUUGCUCGUGAGAUCCACUCUGUUGGCAAGCAGCAGGUCAAGGAGAGCACUUUUCUUAGUUGGCUCCCUUGGGACCUGUUCCAUCAAGUUGUCAUCCAGGUCUUUUGGGAAUCUUCUGGCCUGAGUUGUAGCACCUGUGUGAUAUUCCCAGUUAAUUUCUAGCAAGUUGAAGUCCCCCAUAAGGACAAGGACAUUGACUUGGAAGUGUCUCUUAGUUCCUCAAAGAAUAGUUCUUUGGCGUCAUUGUCCUGGCUGGGAGGUCUAUAACAGACUCCUACCAUGACAACCACAUUAUUUGUUUUCCCCUUCAUUCUCACCCAGAGGCUCUCAACUGUGCCGUUGCCAAUGUGAGCUCCAUACAUUCUAACCCUUCCAUUACACUGCGACCCCUCCACCUCUUCUGCCCUGCCUAUCCCUCCUAAAGAAUCUGUAACUCUGCAACACAGGACUCAUCCCACCAGGUUUCACUUAUGCCAAUAUCACAUCUCUUGGACUGGGCCAAAGCUUCGAGCUUCUCUUGUUUGUUCCUCAUGCUGUAUGCAUGUGUAGAAAUAUUUCAGGUGUGGUGCAUUGUAGCUAAUACCUCGUGAAGCAGAUUAAAGGAUCCCAUGAGUGCUUGUUUUCUCAAGUUUUGGCACACCAUCUGUGUAUUUUUGUUUUAAACAUUUGUUUUGGUUUUAACCUGGGACUCAAGAGUGAAAAACUGUAGACGAAUAUUUCUGUGUCCUGCAGGUGAAGAAAAUGUUUGCAGUGACCCUCUCUCUGGGAAACUGCCAGAUGAUGUGUAGGUCAAGAUGAUAUGACUUAAGCUUCCUUAGGCAAAUCCACCAUGAAAGAUCAAAAUCACUUAUGGGGGUUAAACACAAAUGAAAUGUCACUUUGCUCACUUUCUAAUCCUCAAAAGUUUCAUAAGAUGCUAUAUAUUUUCUCUGAAGGCAUUUUCUUAUUGCACUACCACAGCAAAUAUCUGAUUUGAAUAUGUAAGAGUAGAAACUGCAGAAUUAGAGUGGAGGGUAUUCUUAGUAUCUGCUGAUGAACUAGGGACUAGUCAUGCCCAUGAUCAGCCUCAUUGGACAUUUAUAAACCCAGAUGAGGACAAAAAAAUCACAGAAUGGUUAAAGUUGGAAGGGAUGGCAGUGGGUCAUCUGGUCAAACCUCCCUGCUCGUCUUAGAGCACAUAGCAGAGGAGUGCAGCCAGACUGUUCUUGAAUAUCUCCAGUGAGGGAGACUUCAAAACCUCUCUGGGAAAUCUGUUCUAGUGUUUGCUCACUCAUAUUCAGAGGGAGGUUCCUGUGCAUUCGUUUAUGCCCGUUGCCUCUUUUCCCAUUUCUUGGCACCACCAAGAAGAGCCUGGUUCCAUCCUCUUGACACCCUCCCUUCGAAUACUUAGAGACAUUGAUGAGGACCCCUCUCAGUCAUCUCUUCUUGAGACGGAGCAGGCCCAACUCUGUCAGUAUAUCCUUGUAAGGAGAUGUUCCAGUCCCUUAAGUAUCUUUGCUGAUGGACCCACUCCAGGAGCUCCGUGUCUCUCUUGUACUAAGAAGCCCAGAACUGCACACAACACGCCAGAUGCAGCCUCACCAGGACUAAGUAGAGGGGCAGGAUCACCUCCCUCUACCUGCUGGCACAAUGUUUUUCCUAAUGAACCCCAGGAUAUCACUGACCUUCUUGGCCACGAGGGCACACUGCUGGCACAUGGACAGCUUGUUGUCCACCAGGACUCCCACAUCCUUCUUCACAAAGCUCCUUUUUAGCAGAUUAUACAGCAGCCUGUGCAUGGGGUGCAGGACCCUGCACUUUUUUUGUUGAAUUUCAGAUUCUUCUUUGCCCAUGUCUCCAACCUGUUGAGGUCCUUCUGAAGGGCUGCACAGCCCUCUGAGGUAUUGGCCAUUCCUUCCAGCUUUCUGUCAUCAGUGAACUUGCUGGAGAGGCAUCUAGCCCCUCAUCCCAGUCAUUGAUGGAUAAGUUAAACAAUACUGGGCCCAGUAUUGAACCUAGUUAUUUGUUAAAUAACUACAUAUAUAUUGAAAAGAAGAAGAAAUUAAUAAAAUGUUGUUAUCCCUGCUCUUAGAAAAAAAAACAGUGAACUCGUGCAGGACCUUGAAAAUUUGUUGAUGAUGAAAAUUGAAUGACUGCAUGGGUGACUCUGUAGCAGAAGAAAAGAGGAAAUGCUUCCCUACCUUGCAAGGGCACUGUUCAUACCUGGCAUUGAGGUAAAGGAUCUUAAAUUUUGCUUCUUAAAUGCAGAGCAAAUUGGACUCUGGGAAAUUAUUGGAAUAAGUUCUAUAGCUGACUUUGAACCUUGAACAUCUGAAGCUACCAUUUGUCAAGAGUUAAUACCUUCUAGGACUGGUGGUAGAAAUAGAGAUAUGCCUUCCACAUGGAGUAGCACAGAAGUGAUGGUCCAGGUUUCUAUAGACUGAGCAUAAAGUUUUUUCCAAAAACUAGAACUUCACAGUCGUAGACUAAUGACAAAUUGUGUUCCAGAAGAGAGAGCAGAGCUGUGCUGGGCCACCGGUACAUUUUUUCUUUAUACACCUGUCCUGGCAGAUAUAGCAAAUGACAUGAAAAACUACAGCCACAAAAAAAUGGCCAGGGAAAUAAUUGUUAUAUUACUUGAAUGCAUAACCUGCUCUCUUUUACUCCUAGGAAAGUUUUCUGUUCCUCACAUGAACUCAGUAUGUUCAGGAGAAGAAUAGACUGGAAAAGGCACGUGAAAGGAAGUAUUUAAUUUCCCCAGGUUUCUGAAUAAAUAUUUCUGGUUGGUAAAUUUGCCUCUGAUUAAAGACCUUGUAUUUGAAGUCAGUUCCAGGUGUCACCAGCUACAACACCAUGAGAUUUAUGGAUAGCCAGAUUCUGUUGGUCUUAAUGACAGAAUACUUUUCAAAAUGAACUUUCAUGGCUUUUGCUUCUGAUUUUAGGACAAGCAUAGGACCAAUUUCUAUUCAACAGCAGCCACAAAUAAGCCUGUUUUCGUAGGCUGCAUGUUAGUGUUCAGUGUUCCUCAGAACAUGCAAAAAUCCCCAGCAAGAAAAUUUGAGCUACAUUAAUUACUAAAUGAACCUAGAGCACAUCUUCAGUAAAAACAUAGAGACAAGUAAAACAUUGAUUUUAUGGGAUAGAAAGAGAUUAUCUGUAUAGGCCCUCUGAGGAUGGCAUUCUGUAGAAUACCUUAGGUUCGGAUGAUGGACUUGUGAUUGCCCAUAGACUUUUAUAGCCACUGCAGCCUUUCAGACAAGACACAAGAACACACUGACAUGAAUUCCAGGAACAUGUCUGAAUGACAUGAAACCCUUUCAGUGUUUUUGCAACCCCCAAGAACUAGAUUUAGAUUUCUCCUUCCUUGCUCCUUCAUAAUGCAGAUUUCCAAAACCAUAGACCAUUUUCCUGUUUUCUAACUUAUCCAGGUUUGUAUCUGCUCUCAUAACAUAUUAACACUCUUGUUCUGAAACAGUUUUCAUGAAAAUAUAUCUUGAGAAGCAGGCUAUUUUGAAAUUGAUGCUUUCUUUUCCUUCAUGUAUCUCAACUACCAUGGACCAUAUUAUACAUUUUUACUUUCAGCCUGUGCUUCUACAUGUCGUCUGCACAUCAUUCACAGACUUUUGGUGAAAGCAGCCAAAUCUUUCUGAUAUCUGUAAUUCAGAUCUUCCAUAGAUUAACAAACACACCUUUACAUACGUAUCAAUGCAAAAUUCAAGCAAAAGACAAUGGAAGAAGACAAUCUAACAAAUGCAGUGUUGUACAAUGAUAGUACCUAGGGCCCCAUUUGUCAUGCAUUUAAAUUAUACUUAUUUAUAACAGUGAUGACCAUAUGAGUUUCAUAUUGGGUCUGUCUGAGAUGGAGUUAAUGUUCCUCAUAGCAGUCCUCAUAGUGCUAUGCUUUGAAUUGGUAUCUACGAAGUGUUGGUAACACACCAGUGUUUUGGCUACUGCUGAGCAGCAAUGGCUCAGCAUCACCACUGUCUCCAACAUUCCGCCCUCACCAGUAGGCUGGUGGUGGGCAAGAUCUUGGGAGGGGACAUAGCCAGAAUAGCUGACCCACAUUGACCAAAGGGAUAUUCCGUACCAUAUGAUGUCUUUUCAGCAACAAAACCUAAGCGAAAGAGAAGGAAGGGCUCGGGGAGAGGAGGGAAGCUUUUGUUAUUUUAAUGUCUGUCUUUCAGACCAACCUUGGUGUCUGCUGAAGCCCUGCUUCCUGGAAAAUAGCUGGACAUGGCCUGCUGGAAGGGGAGUAAUAGAGUAGCUUGGAGGGCACCUGGCAUUCAGCCAAAGUCAACCAACCACAAGUAUGAACAAUGUUAAUUCAAGAUUUCAUCUCAUUUGUUACUAUAAUAUGACAUUAUGUGAUAAUUCUGUGCAUGAAGAUAUGCCAAACAGUCAGUCUCUCUUAGUGGCAUUGGACACUGGCUUUUCAGUAAUGAACUGUUGACUUCUUAAAAAAAAUUAUUUUUGCCUAACAUUGCUAGUAAAAUGAAUAAAAUUAUUUGUCUAUUGAAACUGGAGAUUUUGUAAAAGACUUUCAUAUAGUAGUUGGAUUCAGAGCAUUUUCAGAGGUAAAACUCUAAACUAUGAAGAAGAUAUAUUUAAUGAAAAAAAAGUAUUACUUUUGAUAAGCCUUCAAGGGAAUUCAUUUUAGAAUAAAUCCAUGCACACUAUACCUGUUACCUGCCUAAAGUUCUCCUGUCUCUCAAAAACCUGAUGCAUGGUAAUUUUUCUGUAUUGUAUACUACGUAGUGAAAUGUGCAUUCUUCUUAACACAUAAUUAGUUCUCUUGGGUCUUACAAAAAUUGCAGUUCUUAUACACCUGUGGCUAGCACAAAGUAAAUUUGAGAAUUGAAAACCUUAAGAUCAUGUCAAUCUCUACAAGCUGCCCUCUUGUGAUAAGCAUAGACUUGCACAUUGAAUGUUUUAUUGAGCUACUAAAUAAAUAAAUUAAUAAAUCAUCCUGCCCUGGAACUCAAGAUCCAAAGAUGUAUUAUAAGUUAAAACAUGCAAUCUCUUGCAAAACAUUUUAUACAAAUAUGUUCAUGUUUAAGACAUUAGGGCUGAGUUUGGAGCUGGAAACUUGUCUUGGUUUGAGAUUGUUCCCCUGGGAGCCAGGGCACCUAGAGGUGAUUGGGUCCCAGAGCAGUCUCCCCUGAAGGACCAAUCACUGCUCGUUUUGUUCGCUCCUGUGAAAAAUCAGAUAUACACAACCGCUGGAAGUUGUUGGCAGAGUCUAUCUGCUGCUGUGUCUGAGUGAGUGUGUGAGAGACAAUAGCCGAGGGGUGGACGGAGGCUGCUCUCCCCCCACUUGGGGGGGCCCCCGUGCCCCCACAGCUCUGGCCAAGCUAGGGCUGAAGGCAAGAUGUAAGAAUGAGUGUCUGUUGUGAGGGAAGGGAUUCACAGCACCUGAAGGCAAGCGAGAGAGAGAGAGGCGAGCUCCUUGUGAGGAGGCCAGGCCCUCUUUUUGCCCCCCCUUUCCAGCCAGACUGCAGAGCAGGAACUUUUGUUCCCCUCUCACUGUAAGAGUGGAGGGAAGGCUCAGCAUUGGAGCCGAGCCAGGAGAUGGGCCGGUGGAGGCUCAAUGCCAGACAAGAAAAACCCCAGGUGAAAUUGGAGACGGACCGAGGCCGGUUCGGCGGUGCCUACGUUGGAUUUAGACAUGGCUACCGAAAUGGAAACUACAGCAGCUACGGAACCGGUGGGGAGAGAGAGAGAGAAAGAGAGUCACACAGCAGAGAUGGGCAUGGAACCAAGAGAGCACGGAUUCAAACUAUUUUUCUUGGACUUUGUAAGGAAGAUGAGACUUCAGUAAACAGCUGGAGGUUGGUGGGAGGUGGAUCAGAGAAAAACCCUUUUCCCUGAACACUCCCAUGAGAGAAAGACUGCUUACCUAUCAGCCUGAGGGCUUCUCCUGGACUGAAUUAAGGGAGGGGCUUAGAAGGGUGAUAGAAGUGUGUAAUAUUGUAUGUAUAUAGUUGCUUUUAGCGUGUACAAUAGUUAUUUGUGUAGAAUAAAUGUAUAUAUCUUCCCUUUCCCCCUACAGAGGUGUGCUUGCCUGAAAGUUUCUCUUCGGUGUUGAGGUAAAAUUGUGGGAAGGAGAGGGAAGCUUGGAGAUUGGAUUUUUAUUUUUGUGGUGGUCAAACCACCACAAAACUGGAGAACUGAGAACUCUGAUCUCUUGUGAGUUUCACAUGAAGAUAAAUGAGGAGAAAGCUCUUAGUUAUGCUCACCUGUUUACCAUUGAAGAGGGAGGCUUCUAUAUGUUUUCCCAGUUUGAUAAAUAUAAGACACUAAAGUAAUUACAGAAUGCAUACCAGAGGGUUGGCCAAGGUUAUUUAUCUGAAUAGUAGCGAAAAAUUAAGAAUAGUAAUGUUUCAUUGAGUGAAUUAACCUACUGAAUAUAUGACAUUUAAUUACUUCAUAGGGACCUUGUAAUUACUACUCAAGCCAGAAAAGAUGAAACAGUGUCAAGAUCAUCAGAACAAGGUAUGAGUUAUUAAUGAAAAGGUGCUAUCAGUUUUGAGGUUUACUCCCCAGGUUGGAUGAUUUUGUUCUGUCUCAGUGGUUAACUGUUUUUGGCAAGAUCUAAAAAUUACAUGAAAAAUUUCUUCUGUGGGUUCAGCAGCAUCACAGUGGGCUAUGGGAUCCUUCUUUUCUAGAUGACUGUUUCAAAUCAAACCUCAGAGAGGACUGAAUUGCUUUGAUCUAUGUGAAACAAACUUGGUGAUACAUGGCUGUUGACUCAUGAAAGGAAACAUUGGAGCUAUAAAGAUAUUGCUGUUUGCAAUAUCUUUUUGAAAUCUUAGCUAAGUAAUCUAACCCAGCUAUGCUCAAAUGUUGAAUGGUUAUCUUAAUUUUCUCUGAUUUUUAAAUGUUGUUGUUUUAUAUGAAUAAAGAGAGGAUAUCAUGAGCAGUAAAUUGUCACUUUAUUAAGUACUGCAUUUGCUUUUAAAAAUCUACAAUUCUUAUAUACAUUCCUGAAGUCUGCCAUUUCCCCCCUCAUGUAUUAGAGUAUUGGGAUCAAUCCAGUAGAUAAAAAAAAGACCAGAUAUUCUAAAACGUGUGUGUAGGAAGCAUUUUUAAUUGUUCACACUCUUAUAACAAUAUUAAAUCAGUCUUUUGAAAAUUAAGAGUAAAGGCCUAUGAUCUAUUUGCUAGCUGUUAGCACCUUUUUGUUUUCAGAUAUGUGCAGAAAAAGGGGAGGGGGAGAAGGUGGAAAGUGAAAUUUUAUUGGAAUUUGACAGCUUUGUAUUUUCUGGAAUUCCUAUAGAAGCAUAUAAAACAGUAGCAGGUAUUUGAAAAGUUUCCUUGCUGUACUGCAAUGAGCAGAUGAUUUGUUGCAGUGCAGCUAAUAGACUUAUGUUUGCCCAUCUUUAGACUAUCAUCUAAAAAUAAAUUACAUUCCAUGAUUUCUUUGCCCACUUGGUCCCAUUACACUGAAGACUUGUUUUAUGGAGGGAGGAAAAGGAGUGUGUCUGUGUUUAUGCAUGCGGAUAGUCAUCCUAAAAUUUAGCUGGAAAUGGUCUUUAGAUGCAAUGGAGUUAGCUUUGGAGUACUAAAGUAAGUCUUGAAUGUAGCUUGCUCUUAAAUACAUGUCUGAAAUUUCUGUUGUUUUCUUAUCUAAAGUGAAAAACCUACUGACUGCGUAAGUGAUGGAAUUAAAAAACUAUCUGUGCUUGGUGCAUUGUGUGUGCAUCUAUGGGAAGAUAGAUAAAAGAGUGAGAUAAAGACCUCCAUGGAAUUAUGUGAUUAAAAGAUGAUGAAACUGUUGGAGUAAAUCCAACCUAAAAUUAUUUGACUUUCCCUAAAUUGAUUUGGAAAUUACUAAAUGAAAAAAAAUAUAUAAUUUAGGAAUAGAAGGAAAUUAGUAUCUUUAAAUUUCAAUUAAAGAAGAAAGGAAGGAGCAAGAAAACAGGAUAUGAUGUGGUUGAGUGGAAACAGCCAAAAUGUAUAAAGCUGAGGAAUGAGAGUGAACAUAAGACAAUCUGUCUGUGAAUGGGGAGGAGAUGGGAAGAAAAUAGUAGAAAUGCAAGUCCUUAGACAAGGACUAAGUCUAGUGGUACUCAGCACUAAUUUCUACUGGGAGUUGAAAGGAUAUUUCUAAAUGUCUUUUGAAGUAGAUAAGAGUUUUACUCCUCAUUUAUCUGAAGCCAGGGCUAUUUCAGAUCUUUUCCCUGAUAACAGUCCAUUUUGAAUCAGAUUAUGAGACUCAGUGUGUUUUAGUCUAGAUACCUGCUCAAUAUACUCUGUGAUUCUCUAAAGCAUAUUCUGAAAAUGUCUCCUACUAAAUUUUCUACUUCAUUUUGUCAUUAACAUAUAUUUGAAUGACUUGUACAUGAUUGAUCUGUCCUAAUGUAGUCACUUUGAAAUUAGACACCCAAUCUGAGCUACCCUUCCAUAUUUUCUUUAUAUUAAAUAAACCUGCACACAAAAAUGUCAGUUCAAUUAAUCUUGAAAUAUGCUUUUAAAAUAUGUUAAAUGUAUUGCCCUCCAAAUUUGCCUCUUUAAGAGAUUAGAAUUACUAGUUGAAACUUUUGUGUGAAGCUCAAUCAGAAAAACCUUUCCCCUUUUGUUUUAUUAUAAGAAGUUCCUUUCUUUAACUAAAAAUAUAUGUUUGCUUUUCAGGAAUAAGAUUGAUUUGGAGUCUCUAUAUUUUACAUUUAAUUUACCUAUUUCCUCCCCAUCUUUUAUCUUUUAGAUGUAUUCUGCUUAAUGUUUUUGUGUUUCUACUUAUUUCUUACCCUUGUGCCAUAAAAUCACUUAUACUGGGAGAGAAGCUUCAAAUAACAGUUGUAGCAUUUGAGCCUCAAAGGUUCAGUGAAGGCAAAGUAAACCAGAAGUCUAAUAAAAAUUAUGAAACACAGAGUAUGUAGGAUGUUAAAUUAAAAAUCCCUGAGGAAUAAGGUUAAUUUCCAAUAGAAAUUUCAUAAGAAAGAAGUAUUCUUUUCUAAACCCUGUUUCAAGGCAAGUAUAACUUUAAAAUUGAGAGCUAUUGCCUGUGGGUCGCUUGUGGGUAUAUUGAGUAUCUCAAGUUAAGUGUCCUGCUUUAUGGACUAUCUGGAUGAGGCUAAGCUUCCAUGUGUGAGCUGAAGCAACCACUAUCUAAUACAAGUUUCUAAGUUCUUACACUCAUAAGAAAGUCCAAAACUCUGCAUUUUCACUAGAGACCAUUUAUUUAAUUUUCAAUACAUUCCCACUCCCAUCACUUCUCAUUCCUUUUGAUAAAAUAUGUUCAAUGAGUCCUUCCAUUUAGCUGAAAACAUUGUUUUAUGAGCAGUAGUGAAUGUAUCAGGUUUCUUGACUUCAAAGGUUUUCUACUCUACCUAUUUCUCAAGAUCUCACCAAUAUCCACCUCGGUUUUAGUUCAGCUGGGAGGAAUAAAGAAAGCAGGAAACAAUCAUUCAACUAUGUUAUUCUAUCUAUGAUUAUGUUCUACUUUCUUAUUUUCAAUAAUCUCAGUGAGGAAGUGAAAAAAUAUAAGGCAAUGACUGCAUACCACUGACUUAUCUCCUUACUUUUCUUGCAGUAGAUUGCUCAUUUUAAGUUUUGCUUUAAUGAGAUGGUGAGUACCCAGUAGAAGAAUAUGUUAUAUGUCAUUGCUGUGCUUGUUGAAUAGAGAUUCUUCUGAAUGCCCAGCUGUGAAGGCCAACUCUCUAAUUUAAGCUUGAGACACUCAUGUUUUUUCAUUCUAUUAGUCUCUAAACUUUCAGCCAUAAAUUUGAGUGGAAACACAACUGGAGUUUAUAGCUCUUGAAAUAAAAAUCUCAUGCUGUUAAAUUUUUUAGGUAAAGAACCAUUUUCUGCUGCUGAGGGUGUGAAACUUAGACAAGACUGUUGCAAAGUGUUUGUCAUUCUACAGAGAUGAGAAAUUAUUGAUCUGCCCUUCAUAGGAGAGUGGAAACGGUACACACUAGUUUUUAUUCCUUUGAAUCUGCAGUCCCUCAACCUGUGUUGCUGGUACUAGUCUUGUGCUUCAUACUGGAGGGAUUGCAGAAAUCACCAGCUGUGCGGUAACUCACGCUCUUCAUACAUAUAGAGAGAUGCAUCAUGUGAAACUUCUUUGUGCAAGACAAAUUGGCAGAAGAGGUAGUCAUACCACCAGAGUGUAGUCCCAUAACAUCUGAAAGGUACGUGCUGUUUUCGUUCCCCAAAAGAGAAUCUCAAAAAUCAGCUAUAAAGGGGACUAAGAUGGAUAGUGUGACCAUCCUUUCUGUUUGCCCUGGUUGAAUUCAACCUGGAAAACAUUUCUGGAUUUUUCUGUUUACUCUCAGAAGCUACUUCUUUCUUAUGCUUAGGCAGACUUCGAGAAACUGUAUGUUGCACUCUGCAAUCAUUAUACUGUCCAUAACUGCAUGAGCUGCAGCUAAUUAAUCUGUUAUGCAGUGUACACGAAAACAUAGCUAACAAUACAGCAUUUCCUAACAAGCAACAGAGAGCACAGGUCUGUGUAUGGGUUAACAUCAGUCAAACAGUUCAUAUUUUCCCAAAACAUCUACUUCCUACUUGAUAACACAAUCCUCUACCACGUGUUCUAAGUUCAGACAUGAAGGCGAAACUAACUGUAAGGGCAAAGAGGCAAGGAAUUGAUUUAACUUUCAGCCUGUCUUCCUGUUU